rnacentral:lncRNA from 1 species
AUGACCUCCAAACUUCUACUCCCCACUUCCAAAAGCCAAGCCUUUUGUUUGAAGGAAAUACUUAGUUCUUUGUUUUCCUGUGGUUUCUCCAUCUGUGAAGACAUUGGCAUGCCUUUCCUUAAGUGGGAAGUUCAGACACAACCAAGGGGUCUACAAGCACACUCAGGAAGAUGACCUGGUGGUGGCUUCCUCAGCAGACUUCAUAGGCUUGACAAAAUCCCAUGGAGUUAUGUAUGGGCUGCUCUUCAGUAAAACCUAUCCAGAACUUCCACCUAGUGAACAGAUGGUAUUGUUUUCAGAUGACAGCAGAAGAAGUUCGUGUAUCAAACACUGAAAGCUUGAGAAAACACACAGAGCGUGGGCAGUAAUUAUAAUGAGGAAAGAGCAUGAUACAUCACCAGGCAGCCCAGCUCUGUACAAAGCCAGAAACCAAUGGGAGCAUUGUCCAGCUAUCUGGACUCUGCUGGGGUGGACAAAUGGGGGUCAGGGGAUGCUAAACUGAUGUGGUCCUGACACAGGUGCUGGGCCCAGCCUGGGUUUCACUGACAAGCAUGACCAAAUUGUUCUCUCUAGAUGUAUAAAGUUCCUACAGUGUGCUUGGCCCCAAGAAUACAGAAAUGAAAAGCCCAGUCCCUGCUUCAUGGGGUUGCAGUAUGGUGGCAGAGACUAACUCAUAGGAGAUCCACACAGGAAAUAAGAACAGAGAGUAGGAGCUCCUAAUCCAGCCCGGAGCAAUGGGGAGGUUUGUGAGAGGGUGAAGUCUGGUCUUGUGAGGUGCCAAGAGCUGGUUGAGAGAGGUGGGAAUGAAGCAAAGUAGUAGAUAGGUCAAGGGCACUCCACACUGGAGGGACAGAGUAAGCAAGGGAAUAGUAAAGUGAGUGAAGGGAAGUAAUACAAGGAGUUCAGUAUAGUUGCAUAGGGCAGGAGGAGCAAAAAAUGAGGCCAGAGAUGCCAGCUGGGGAUUAGAAAACAUCUGUGCAUAGAGGAAUGUUUGAGGACAACAUUACACAAGUUCACACGUGUCACUUGCAAAACAAGGUGUAUCCUGUCAGUAAACCUGCUCAUAGGGCUGCGAGUGUGGGCAUAUUUAGCAACAGAAACAGACUGCCAAGAUCAGCAGUGUACAUGCAGGAAGAAUUUUGUUGAUUUCAUUAAAACUCAUGUAGAGAGCAAAUCCUGAGUGCCAGGCACUGGAAGCCCCUUGGUAAGCACAGUAGUGUCCCAGAUGAUCCUUCUGUAGUUAACUGUUGAAUGAAUAAG